GGGUUGUGAGGUUAAGCGACUAAGCGUACACGGUGGAUGCCCUGGCAGUCAGAGGCGAUGAAGGGCGUGCUAAUCUGCGAUAAGCGCCGGUAAGGUGAUAUGAACCGUUAUAACCGGCGAUACCCGAAUGGGGAAACCCAGUGUGAUUCGUCACACUAUCAUUAACUGAAUCCAUAGGUUAAUGAGGCGAACCGGGGGAACUGAAACAUCUAAGUACCCCGAGGAAAAGAAAUCAACCGAGAUUCCCCCAGUAGCGGCGAGCGAACGGGGAGGAGCCCAGAGCCUGAAUCAGCAUGUGUGUUAGUGGAAGCGUCUGGAAAGGCGCGCGAUACAGGGUGACAGCCCCGUACACAAAAGCGCAUGUGCUGUGAGCUCGAUGAGUAGGGCGGGACACGUGGUAUCCUGUCUGAAUAUGGGGGGACCAUCCUCCAAGGCUAAAUACUCCUGACUGACCGAUAGUGAACCAGUACCGUGAGGGAAAGGCGAAAAGAACCCCGGCGAGGGGAGUGAAAAAGAACCUGAAACCGUGUACGUACAAGCAGUGGGAGCACCCUUUGGGGUGUGACUGCGUACCUUUUGUAUAAUGGGUCAGCGACUUAUAUUCUGUAGCAAGGUUAACCGUAUAGGGGAGCCGGAGGGAAACCGAGUCUUAAUUGGGCGUUAAGUUGCAGGGUAUAGACCCGAAACCCGGUGAUCUAGCCAUGGGCAGGUUGAAGGUUGGGUAACACUAACUGGAGGACCGAACCGACUAAUGUUGAAAAAUUAGCGGAUGACCUGUGGCUGGGGGUGAAAGGCCAAUCAAACCGGGAGAUAGCUGGUUCUCCCCGAAAGCUAUUUAGGUAGCGCCUCGUGAAUUCAUCUCCGGGGGUAGAGCACUGUUUCGGCUAGGGGGCCAUCCCGGCUUACCAACCCGAUGCAAACUGCGAAUACCGGAGAAUGUUAUCACGGGAGACACACGGCGGGUGCUAACGUCCGUCGUGAAGAGGGAAACAACCCAGACCGCCAGCUAAGGUCCCAAAGUCAUGGUUAAGUGGGAAACGAUGUGGGAAGGCCCAGACAGCCAGGAUGUUGGCUUAGAAGCAGCC
rnacentral:rRNA from 1 species